GUGGGUUGUUCUUGUUCUGAAUUGUUCACUUAAUUAGCACCUGUUUGUAACAACCCGAUGAACGCUAUGGUAUUAUCCCAGCGUUUCAGGCCAAGCCAAACAUAACAGGUAGUGAUUCUAGCGCUUCCCGCUUUGGGAGAGGAAGCGCCAUUUGAAACAAUGUGACAACACGAGUGAAAGGAGACCCCCAUGCAGGUCAGCAGAAGGCAGUUCUUUAAG
rnacentral:sRNA from 1 species